AUACAGAGGGUGCGAGCGUUAAUCGGAAUUACUGGGCGUAAAGCGCGCGUAGGCGGCUUGAUAAGUCGGAUGUGAAAGCCCCGGGCUUAACCUGGGAAUUGCAUUCGAAACUGUCAGACUAGGGUACGGUAGAGGGUAGUGGAAUUCCGGGUGUAGCGGUGAAAUGCGUAGAUAUCCGGAGGAACACCAGUGGCGAAGGCGGCUACCUGGACCAAUACUGACGCUCAGGUGCGAAAGCGUGGGGAGCAAACAGGAUUAGAAACCCGGGUAGUCC
rnacentral:rRNA from 1 species